UCCGUAGGUGGAUUAAUAAGUCAGAGGUGAAAUCCUGCAGCUCAACUGUAGAACUGCCUUUGAUACUGUUAAUCUUGAGUCAUUAUGAAGUGGUUAGAAUGUGUAGUGUAGCGGUGAAAUGCAUAGAUAUUACACAGAAUACCGAUUGCGAAGGCAGAUCACUAAUAAUGUACUGACACUGAGGGACGAAAGCGUGGGGAGCGAACAGGAUUAGAUACCCUGGUAGUCC
rnacentral:rRNA from 1 species